AUGCAAGUCGAGCGAACAGAUAAGGAGCUUGCUCCUUUGACGUUAGCGGCGGACGGGUGAGUAACACGUGGGUAACCUACCUAUAAGACUGGGAUAACUUCGGGAAACCGGAGCUAAUACCGGAUAACAUUUGGAACCGCAUGGUUCUAAAGUGAAAGAUGGUUUUGCUAUCACUUAUAGAUGGACCCGCGCCGUAUUAGCUAGUUGGUAAGGUAACGGCUUACCAAGGCAACGAUACGUAGCCGACCUGAGAGGGUGAUCGGCCACACUGGAACUGAGACACGGUCCAGACUCCUACGGGAGGCAGCAGUAGGGAAUCUUCCGCAAUGGGCGAAAGCCUGACGGAGCAACGCCGCGUGAGUGAUGAAGGGUUUCGGCUCGUAAAACUCUGUUAUUAGGGAAGAACAAAUGUGUAAGUAACUGUGCACAUCUUGACGGUACCUAAUCAGAAAGCCACGGCUAACUACGUGCCAGCAGCCGCGGUAAUACGUAGGUGGCAAGCGUUAUCCGGAAUUAUUGGGCGUAAAGCGCGCGUAGGCGGUUUCUUAAGUCUGAUGUGAAAGCCCACGGCUCAACCGUGGAGGGUCAUUGGAAACUGGGAAACUUGAGUGCAGAAGAGGAAAGUGGAAUUCCAUGUGUAGCGGUGAAAUGCGCAGAGAUAUGGAGGAACACCAGUGGCGAAGGCGACUUUCUGGUCUGUAACUGACGCUGAUGUGCGAAAGCGUGGGGAUCAAACAGGAUUAGAUACCCUGGUAGUCCACGCCGUAAACGAUGAGUGCUAAGUGUUAGGGGGUUUCCGCCCCUUAGUGCUGCAGCUAACGCAUUAAGCACUCCGCCUGGGGAGUACGACCGCAAGGUUGAAACUCAAAGGAAUUGACGGGGACCCGCACAAGCGGUGGAGCAUGUGGUUUAAUUCGAAGCAACGCGAAGAACCUUACCAAAUCUUGACAUCCUUUGAAAACUCUAGAGAUAGAGCCUUCCCCUUCGGGGGACAAAGUGACAGGUGGUGCAUGGUUGUCGUCAGCUCGUGUCGUGAGAUGUUGGGUUAAGUCCCGCAACGAGCGCAACCCUUAAGCUUAGUUGCCAUCAUUAAGUUGGGCACUCUAGGUUGACUGCCGGUGACAAACCGGAGGAAGGUGGGGAUGACGUCAAAUCAUCAUGCCCCUUAUGAUUUGGGCUACACACGUGCUACAAUGGACAAUACAAAGGGCAGCUAAACCGCGAGGUCAUGCAAAUCCCAUAAAGUUGUUCUCAGUUCGGAUUGUAGUCUGCAACUCGACUACAUGAAGCUGGAAUCGCUAGUAAUCGUAGAUCAGCAUGCUACGGUGAAUACGUUCCCGGGUCUUGUACACACCGCCCGUCACACCACGAGAGUUUGUAACACCCGAAGCCGGUGGAGUAACCAUUUAUGGAGCUAGCC
rnacentral:rRNA from 1 species